UUAUACAGGGUGGGCUACCGGGGGGCCCUUUUCAAACCGGGUCUAAAUGGUCGCCGGCCCUUACUUGUAAGACAAAAAGUGAUAUCUAUGUAGGUCUGUUACUGCAGACACAGUUCUGUGAAUGCAAUCUGGAUCUAUGGUCAGACACAUCUUGAAUAUCCCUCUGGACCUUCACAUUUGUGCAGAAAAAAGCCGUACAAGGGAAAAAAAACUAAAAAAAAUGCUGCGAAUACUUGGUAGUACAUUCAGGAGAAGGUGAAUGGAUAAGCAAGCUGUUGGAAACGGUUUCUAUCAGAACCACACUAGAUCACAAAAGAGAACAAUCCCAUGAAGUCACUACAGACAACGUUCUCUCACCAUGCAAACCUUGAAAUCUUACCAAGUUUGAACUUUGUGAGAGAAGUAAGUGAAUUGGCGGUGGGUAGAGCAGAAUUGGUUUAGUCUUCUGUCCCGUUGGAUAGAAGUGCAUGUACUUUGGCUGAGGGUAUAAUUCUGUACAGUUAUUUGCAUCCCACGGUCUUUUCAUCAUUGCAAUAGUUUUUGCAUUUACAUCCUUUGAGAUAUCAUGUGGUAAAUGAGAGAAUUUGUCUUUUUUCGCAUAGUAGGAGUCGUAUAUGCGAUUUGGCGCCGAAGAAGAGGUAAGAACUAAAAUGUACACCGACAUGAAAGUUCAAGCAGAAGGAAGUCAGAAGAAAAGUAAAGAUGACACUUAAUUUAACAUGUCCCUUGACGUUUACGGUACAUGAAUAAUUAAUUUAGUCUAACCCUAUUUCAGUUUUAUUGUCUGGUCUUUCUUUCUUCCAUGCAUGCAGAGUUUCUCGUAGUUCAUGGCUUUAACUAGUAGUAGUAUUUCCCACCUACCAACCCCAGCACAACCUAGCCAAUGAAAGACCGAGCACCCACGACCCUAUCAAUUGUUUCAAAAGACCCCCUUUUCAAGGUGCAACAGAAGCAGGCAGCAGCAACAACACGGGCCCGUUCAAUUGACAGACAUGCCAGGUAAAGUGAAAAUCCACACACGUAAACAGUAAAUUGGAUCAACUCGGCAUUCAUAGGGCAACUAUUCACUGGUGCUGUUCAGCAAAUUUCAUAGCUUACAUUUUGACAACAUACGUAUGGAGAGCGAAAGAAAUGGCUUCUGGAAAAAAUUUAUGAAGGUCUAACUUAAA